GCGAACGAUGGGUGCACGCUGAACAGCUCGUAGGUGAAUACAUCGGUAGUACUUUGCGAUGACGUAAAGCUGAACUGAACAGCGAAUCGUAUACGCGAAAUGCCAUAAAUUUUAGGCACGUUGAAAAAUGAAGGGAAAAUUAUCACAGUCGUACGUAUCAAGGCAUUUUGACCUUAAAUACAACUCGCGAUACAUCGAGUUCGGAUUGCGUCACAAUAGACCAAUUUGCUUAAUAUGAAGCCAAUGUUUCCCUACGUUUAAGAGGUUUAUAGGAAACAUAUAGACGGUUGUGUGUGUAGAUAUACGAGUGUUAAUUUCUUGGCGCCCUCGUUUGAUUUUUUUUCAUUCUCUUUCUUACAAAUUUCAUUGUCUGAUAUUUCUUUUUUUUUCCCUCUGUACAGAUGAGAGCGUUGCAAAAACGUCGAUUCACGCUAGAAUACGGAAAAUAUUAUUCGCUUUUAUUUCAUUACCGUUUCGUUACGGGUUACGAACGGGGAAAAUAUUUAUAAAUAAUCGAGGAAUCUAGACGUUUAUGUUCAUAAAUCGUACGGUUAAUUACAUGCAUUUAGAACUCGUGGCACGAGGUACGAGCGCGAUCUGACAUUUGAAAAAUCGGUACGUGCGAUAAACCGUACGUGUACGUAUCUUUACACGGACGUACAAAUAUUCGCGUUAGGCCGAUCGAUCGAUCGAUCGUCGGUACAGCUGGUACGUGGAGGGAAAAAAUUUAGGCGAAAAUUAGACAUAGUCCAAGAAAAACAAAGAGCGCGACUAAUGGAUUUCAGAUUUUCAUUCUUCCCACGCGUUUGGCUGCACAUUUGUAUUAUUGUACGGGGUACGCAUAGUACCGAGUAGUUGUGCAAAGGUGAAGAUUAAAAAAAGUUUGUCUCGAGAGUGAUCGUAUAUAUAUAUGAGAACAGUGCAGAGGCUAAUUUCGGAGGAAUGACUAACUAAAUUGAGUGGGCCAGACGCGUAGGUCACAGCCUAGAAAUGAAAAAGGAACAGAUAUAUAGAAAGCUUUGUUUUAUACGUUUCGUUGAUCCGAUUGGAAAUGAAAUUUUCAUGUAAGAAAAACGCCUACCUUCAUUUCAUAGGUGUACUGUGAGUAUCGUACGCAAUACUCGUACAUCUUUGACGAGGUAUUUGAAAGAAAAAAGAAGAAAAAAUCGAAAGCAUUAUUUUCACAAGCGUAUAAAAAAAUAAAUGUACGCAGUGCGUCAUUUUCUACGCGAGGUGUAAAUGUGUAUCUACAUUUCAAUGCCACAUUGAAGACAAUACGGUACAAUUACGAUUGAGAGAAGCGAUUGUAUAUCAGGUGUGCACCGACGAGAUGGACGUGCAAUUUUUAAGAUAAAAUAAUUAUCAUCGUUAGAUUUUUAUAACGUGCAGACGUCGAGGCUAUUAAAUUGUAAAUCCUUUCGGUUUCUAAAGAGAGAACAAGAAAUUUCUCCUCUUUGUAUAUUUCCAUAAUCUCUGACGUUCAAAUAAUAUUAUACCGCGUAUCUCGUUCGCACGUUUCCACCUUGUAAUUUUUAACGGGCAUUAGUGAGUUAUGUAUAAUGCAUAGGAUGUGUAUGUAUAUCCGCAGAUAAGAUUGACGAAUAAAAUUGCACACUUGAAAUAAACCUUUCCACCGAUAAGAGACGGUCGUACCUUAAAACGAAGAUACGUAUCAGUCACCUUGAAUAAGAAUUAGAAUACCGCCAUACCAAAUAUUCACGAUUAUUUUCGUUACACGAGCUCUGCUAUGAAUAUCUCUGAAAUUGUAUUGAAAAAUUCACAACUCAUCGCCGCUACGAAAUUCUGUGAGAAAAAAAAAAAAACAAAAAAAAAAAAACUAGAAAUGAUAAUCAAGACUUUCGCAAGAUGAAUUAAAUCCCAGCUGACAUCGAAAUAAUAAUGAGGACGGCGAUGAACUAGUUCGUCUUGAAAAAAAAAAGUUUUCCUUACCAAUAUUACGUCUUUACGUUAACGAAGUGUCGCGAUCCGCAAUUUCGAUACACUCGACGUCAUCCGUAGGUGAUUGGUAACUGUAACCAUUGAAGUAUACAUAUAUGUAUAUUACACAGAAGGAAACCAUCGGUACCAUCAUUCGAGACGCGGAGGCAAAAGCUAGCUUGGAAGUCGAGGUCGACGCCUGGCGUCGUCGCGAGGCGACCUUCGUUCGAUCCAAUUCUUAUCGUAACUUCGGCGUGUGCUCGAUGCUUCGGAAAGAUAUGGCGAGAUAAAAUUGGCACGCAGUUUCUUUACAUUUUACGACUGGGAAGCGCCGCUCACAUUACGAUUCCCCCGCGUGUCUGAUUUUAUCGGAAGAAAAAUUUUUCCGAUAUUAUGUAACAGGUUGUCAUUUUUUAAAAGAUUUUAUUUCCCUCCGCUUCCGAAUAUUCGUAAUUGCCUCAGAGGGCGAGGGGGUCAGUACGACCGACCCUUGUAACUAUGACCUACGUUCACAUAUUCCAUUUAUUAGCUAAGGUCACGCGAAGUGUGCCUGAAAAAAAAAUGCUCUUCAUUUUAUUUUUUUCGCAUCGAAAAGAAGAGAACUAAAUACCAAAGGGAAUCAAUUGUUACGUUUUUUGGACUCGCAUGAGUCACGAAAUUCCACAAUCGCAAUAUAUUCUCGUCAAAACUGACGUGGUAUACACUCGUAUAGGAUUUUCGUGUAUAAAUAUUUCCUUCUAUUUCAAGUGGUACGAAUUUUUCGUCAAACAAAUUAGCCGCGACGUUAUUAUGUGUUAUUCUUCUUUUGCUCGAGAUAAAUUAUUGGCGAUACUCAUACAUAUGUGUAUAAUAUGUUCUAAGUAAUAACGGUUCACGGUGAUAUACCGACAUUAUUUGACCGCUAAGGCGAAGAAACUAUUUUUUUUUUUUCCUUCCUCUUUUAAUCGUCUCAAGAGAAUUUGUUGAAGUGAUUUUGAUAUCUUUUGAUCCGCGUAGACAUAAGCAAUUGGAGUUCGACGUCGAGAAUGUUUAACACGAAAUCAAGCUUCAGAUAUCUCCACGUCGAUUGACAUUUUAUAAACUCACGUCUGUUUCCAGCUCAAUUUGUUUACGUUGAAUUAAAUUAUACGAUCGUUGUAACAAUGAACCGUAAUUUUUAACAAUCGGUCACAGAUUAUUCGAUACAUGACUAAAAAAUUUAAAGAUGUACAAUAGCAAUUAAAAAUCGACAUCUACUUUGAUCUUACGAUAACUGAUCCUAUCGUAUGUACCUCGGAAAUGAAUAUAAUAAGUAUCGUCUGAAUCGAAAGAUAGCAUUUGAAACUAAGGACGCGCCCGAAAUUAACUUUUACAAUUCAUUAUUCUCCUUUUUCUUCUACUCCGUCGUUCGUAAAUGACAAGCUGAGUGAAAGGCGUGAGAAACAAGAAUUAAAUGCAAAGGCACCCCAACACCCUGAGCGUACAGAAAUCAACCCGGCGGUCAUUAUUCAUCUUACAUUUGCAUUACAGCGGUAUCUUCCGACGGAAAUAGAUCGACACCAGGAAACGGAUUUUACUUCCCAAUUCGUCACGUCCACGCUAUGAACUUGAAUUAUAAUUUAUGGGCACACGCAGGUGGAAACGGAUGAAUCUUUCGGAAGCGGGAACAAGGUCGGCAAAUGUACGGUGCGGAUCUGUGGCGAGGGUCACGUAAAGAAACAUAUUCCGCAAAUGGAAUGAAACGAUUGGGAGUCCGACUCUGUGACGAAUAAAAGAGCGGACAUCAUAUGAACUGUGCAAUGCGAUAAUAAUUAGACAACGAUGAUACAGUACCUGCUUCCCGGCUAUAGGUGCAGCAAUAAGAAAGAGAUUAGAAAAUUGGAUUUGUCAGGAGAAUAUAUGUAUUAAAAUUAAUCUGUUGAGUUUUGCGGUUCGUUAUAGGUACAAAUUUUAUAGCAUAAAGAUUGAAAAGAUUCGAUCUUUUUAUCUAGCCAUCUUCUUGUGCGGUAAAAGUGUGAUUAAAAUUUUAUUUAAUCAUGGGAACUUGUAAUAUACGCACACCGUCUUUUAAUCCAACAAUUAGAUACGUGAGAGGCGUUUAACUUUAUAUGAAAAACACACGCAAAUCGCGAUUAUAUAAUUUAACGACAGCGCAAAGUACCAUCGAUUUUUAUAGCUACGUACGGUUGUAUAUUAUCAUUGUUUUUUAUGAUCUAAAUCCGAAAGUACCGCAGAGUCAUUAUAUUCGCGGUUUGUCGAGGAAUACAUUUUUUCUAAAUAUCCUACAAAAUUACUGCAGUUUUUAAGUUUCAAAUUUUUCAACCAAAUAUUUUUUCAAACUCUCUCGACUACUAUUGGAUUAUCGUAUAAGAAUAAUUAUCACAGAUUUGAUGCAGAAAGUACGUCUCUACUUUCGAAUGAAAGCCAGAUCCUGACCAGAUUAGGAACUGCUCGUAAGUGGGCGUGCAAUAGAUUUUUAGCAUUAGGGGUCUUAUACCUAUCAGGAUAUUUUUGAAGUCUUCUUUAUUCAAUUAAAUCUUCUUUUUUUCUUUUACCCUUAGCAACUUCAUCCGUUAUAUCCUCCUCUUUAUUUAUAAUUCCCAAUGAUUAUACUGCACGACGAUAGUUACUAGGAGAUUUAUAAAAAUAAAAAAUCGACAGGGAAAUUGAAGUUAUAUUCCAAGAUUACAGUGAAAUUAAAUCCUACAUAACAUGAUGUUCUUGUGUAAUUGUUAACGUAAUCUGACUGCAGCAAUCAAUUCUGUGUUAUUCCAUCGUGAUAAGGCACUUGAAAAA